rnacentral:rRNA from 1 species
CAGUAGCCGCGGUAAUACGUAGGUGGCAAGCGUUGUCCGGAAUUAUUGGGCGUAAAGGGCUCGCAGGCGGUUUCUUAAGUCUGAUGUGAAAGCCCCCGGCUCAACCGGGGAGGGUCAUUGGAAACUGGGAAACUUGAGUGCAGAAGAUGAGAGUGGAAUUCCACGUGUAGCGGUGAAAUGCGUAGAGAUGUGGAGGAACACCAGUGGCGAAGGCGACUCUCUGGUCUGUAACUGACGCUGAGGAGCGAAAGCGUGGGGAGCGAACAGGAUUAGAUACCCGUGUAGUCCCUGUCUCUUAUAC